AAAGUUCCGGCGGAUAAAGAUGGGCAUGCGUGACAUUAGUUAGUUGGUGAGGUAACGGCUCACCAAGGCAACGAUGUCUAGGGGUUCUGAGAGGAUUGUCCCCCACACUGGUACUGAGACACGGACCAGACUCCUACGGGAGGCAGCAGUGAGGAAUAUUGGUCAAUGGGCGAGAGCCUGAACCAGCCAUGCCGCGUGCAGGAAGACUGUUCUAUGAAUUGUAAACUGCUUUUCUACAGGAAGAAAUCAUGCUACGUGUAGUGUGUUGCCGGUACUGUAGGAAUAAGCACCGGCUAACUCCGUGCCAGCAGCCGCGGUAAUACGGAGGGUGCAAGCGUUAUCCGGAUUUAUUGGGUUUAAAGGGUGCGUAGGCGGAAUAGUAAGUCAGUGGUGAAAUCCUGCGGCUCAACCGUAGAACUGCCAUUGAUACUGUUAUUCUUGAAUGUAGUUGAGGUAGGCGGAAUGUGUAAUGUAGCGGUGAAAUGCUUAGAUAUUACACAGAACACCGAUUGCGAAGGCAGCUUGCUAAGCUACGAUUGACGCUGAUGCACGAAAGCGUGGGGAGCGAACAGGAUUAGAUACCCUGGUAGUCCACGCUGUAAACUAUGAUCACUCGUUGUUUGCGAUAUACAGUAAGCGACUGAGCGAAAGCAUUAAGUGAUCCACCUGGGGAGUACGUUGGCAACAAUGAAACUCAAAGGAAUUGACGGGGGCCCGCACAAGCGGAGGAACAUGUGGUUUAAUUCGAUGAUACGCGAGGAACCUUACCUGGGUUUAAAUGUAGGUUGCAUAGAGGGGAAACUCUCUUUUCCUUCGGGACUACCUACAAGGUGCUGCAUGGUUGUCGUCAGCUCGUGCCGUGAGGUGUCGGGUUAAGUCCCAUAACGAGCGCAACCCUUAUCGUUAGUUGCCAUCAGGUCAUGCUGGGGACUCUAACGAGACUGCCGGUGUAAACCGUGAGGAAGGUGGGGAUGACGUCAAAUCAGCACGGCCCUUAUAUCCAGGGCUACACACGUGUUACAAUGGUCGGUACAAAGAGCAGCCAC
rnacentral:rRNA from 1 species